GAUGAACGCUGGCGGCGUGCCUAAUACAUGCAAGUCGAGCGAACAGACGAGGAGCUUGCUCCUCUGACGUUAGCGGCGGACGGGUGAGUAACACGUGGAUAACCUACCUAUAAGACUGGGAUAACUUCGGGAAACCGGAGCUAAUACCGGAUAAUAUAUUGAACCGCAUGGUUCAAUAGUGAAAGACGGUUUUGCUGUCACUUAUAGAUGGAUCCGCGCCGCAUUAGCUAGUUGGUAAGGUAACGGCUUACCAAGGCAACGAUGCGUAGCCGACCUGAGAGGGGAAUCGGCCCCACUUGGAGUGGAACACGGUCCAGACUCCGACGGGGGGCCGCAGUAGGGAAUCUUCCGAGAUGGGCGUAAGCCUGGCGGAGCAACGCCGCGUGGGUGGAGGAGGUCUUCGGGUCGGGAAACUCUAUUAUUAGGGGAGGACAAAUGUGUAAGUAACUGAAGACGUCUUGACGGUACCUGAUCAGUAAGCCACGGCUAACUACGUG
rnacentral:rRNA from 1 species